rnacentral:lncRNA from 1 species
AGUUUUCCCUGUGACCUUACUUCUCUUACAGAUCUAAGAAGUGUUGAUUUUUCAGUUUGUUCAGUUUUUUACUUGUUAGGAUGGAUUGGUGACUUCCAUGUUCUUUAUACACGGAACCAGAAACUGGAGUUCUCACUCUUUUUUUCCCCGCCAUUGAACUGCUGAAGAGAUCAGGCUGGAAGUCCCCAUAGGGCAUUAUCCCUCUAAGGAGACAAGUAGAAUUGUCCACUGAAUGGCAUUUGGUGGCUCUCUCAGGUUUCCUGUUACCUGGGAUUGAUGGCUCUCCCUCCCCUUGCUGCACAUGGCCUCAACUUCCCACAAGACUGUCCAGCGCUAUCAGCAGAGGUAUCCAACUACAAAAUACUUCUUUACCACGUUCCUGAGUCCAGGAUUCCCAGACUCUCUAUGCUUGCAAGGCCACUCAUGAAAAGGAGUCCCUCUUUUGAAAUAUCACCUGUGAUGCUUUCUGCUGUGUAUGCAUGCUGCUGUAGAACCUUCUGCCUGUUACUGCCUUAUGGUUACAAGACGACUGCUACAGGUCUACGCAUCAGAGCAUCUCAUGUCCUCACUCAAGGCAGGAAGAAGAGUGAAGGAGC